UACGAAGGGGGCUAGCGUUGCUCGGAAUCACUGGGCGUAAAGGGUGCGUAGGCGGGUUUUUAAGUCAGGGGUGAAAUCCUGGAGCUCAACUCCAGAACUGCCUUUGAUACUGAAGAUCUUGAGUCCGGGAGAGGUGAGUGGAACUGCGAGUGUAGAGGUGAAAUCCGUAGAUAUUCGCAAGAACACCAGUGGCGAAGGCGGCUCACUGGUCCGGAUCUGACGCUGAGGCGCGAAAGCGUGGGGAGCAAACAGG
rnacentral:rRNA from 1 species